rnacentral:rRNA from 1 species
CCUACGGGGGGCUGCAGUGGGGAAUAUUGCACAAUGGGCGCAAGCCUGAUGCAGCCAUGCCGCGUGUGUGAAGAAGGCCUUCGGGUUGUAAAACACUUUCAGCGGGGAGGAAGGCGGUGAGGUUAAUAACCUCAUCGAUUGACGUUACCCGCAGAAGAAGCACCGGCUAACUCCGUGCCAGCAGCCGCGGUAAUACGGAGGGUGCAAGCGUUAAUCGGAAUUACUGGGCGUAAAGCGCACGCAGGCGGUCUGUCAAGUCGGAUGUGAAAUCCCCGGGCUCAACCUGGGAACUGCAUUCGAAACUGGCAGGCUAGAGUCUUGUAGAGGGGGGUAGAAUUCCAGGUGUAGCGGUGAAAUGCGUAGAGAUCUGGAGGAAUACCGGUGGCGAAGGCGGCCCCCUGGACAAAGACUGACGCUCAGGUGCGAAAGCGUGGGGAGCAAACAGGAUUAGAUACCCCAGUAGUC